rnacentral:lncRNA from 1 species
CAAUAAGUCUGAUAGAGAAGGCGGUGGGCUAAGGAGCGGAGCCUAAGGAGCCAGGGACGGUGCUGGGUGCGGUGGGUAUGAUGGACCUAGCCUAUGUGUGCGAAUGGGAGAAGUGGGCCAAGAGCACGUACUGCCCGUCGCUGCCCCUGGCCUGCGCCUGGUCCUGCAGGAACCUCAUUGCCUUCACCACAGACCUACGCAAUGAUGACCAGGACCUCACACACAUGAUUCAUAUCCUUGACACAGAACAUCCCUGGGAAGUGCACUCUGUCAGCUCUGGCCACAGUGAGGCCAUCACCUGCCUGGAAUGGGACCAGUCAGGGUCCCGGCUCCUGUCUGCCGAUGCUGACGGGCAGAUCAAAUGUUGGAGCAUGGCUGACCACCUGGCCAACAGCUG